rnacentral:rRNA from 1 species
AGCCGGCGAUGUCCGAAUGGGGAAACCCAGUGCAAUUCGUUGCACUAUCGUUAACUGAAUACAUAGGUUAACGAGGCGAACCGGGGGAACUGAAACAUCUAAGUACCCCGAGGAAAAGAAAUCAACCGAGAUUCCCCCAGUAGCGGCGAGCGAACGGGGAGCAGCCCAGAGUCUGAAUCAGCUUGUGUGUUAGUGGAACGGUCUGGAAAGUCCGACGGUACAGGGUGAUAGUCCCGUACACCAAAAUGCACAGGUUGUGAACUCGAAGAGUAGGGCGGGACACGUGGUAUCCUGUCUGAAUAUGGGGGGACCAUCCUCCAAGGCUAAAUACUCCUGACUGACCGAUAGUGAACCAGUACCGUGAGGGAAAGGCGAAAAGAACCCCGGCGAGGGGAGUGAAAAAGAACCUGAAACCGUGUACGUACAAGCAGUGGGAGCACCUUCGGGUGUGACUGCGUACCUUUUGUAUAAUGGGUCAGCGACUUAUAUUCUGUAGCAAGGUUAACCGUAUAGGGGAGCCGCAGGGAAACCGAGUCUUAACUGGGCGUUAAGUUGCAGGGUAUAGACCCGAAACCCGGUGAUCUAGCCAUGGGCAGGUUGAAGGUUGGGUAACACUAACUGGAGGACCGAACCGACUAAUGUUGAAAAAUUAGCGGAUGACUUGUGGCUGGGGGUGAAAGGCCAAUCAAACCGGGAGAUAGCUGGUUCUCCCCGAAAGCUAUUUAGGUAGCGCCUCGUGAACUCAUCUUCGGGGGUAGAGCACUGUUUCGGCUAGGGGGUCAUCCCGACUUACCAACCCGAUGCAAACUACGAAUACCGAAGAAUGUUAUCACGGGAGACACACGGCGGGUGCUAACGUCCGUCGUGAAGAGGGAAACAACCCAGACCGCCAGCUAAGGUCCCAAAGUCAUGGUUAAGUGGGAAACGAUGUGGGAAGGCACAGACAGCCAGGAUGUUGGCUUAGAAGCAGCCAUCAUUUAAAGAAAGCGUAAUAGCUCACUGGUCGAGUCGGCCUGCGCGGAAGAUGUAACGGGGCUAAACCAUGCACCGAAGCUGCGGCAGCGACACUAUGUGUUGUUGGGUAGGGGAGCGUUCUGUAAGCCUG